AGUUUCGCACAGUGGCAAUGUCAUAGCCAAUGACAUUUAUCUGAGGUGUGAGGAUUGCUAAUUGAAAACAACUUUUCCCAAUAUAGUCAGCAUUUGCAAGUCUUGAUAGUCUCUACAGACACUGAAUUUUUCUAAAAAACUGAUUUU